CAAAAUAAUGUUCAAAAUAUUUAGAAAUAGGAUCAAAGUUAAUUUUGGAAACUUUGAUACAGCAAGGCUUGACUAAUCAACAACAUUUUUCAGACCUUCUUGGGAAUUGAUUGCCAAUUUGCCAAAAAGUCAUUAUUCAAUAAAAUGUUUGCAAAGGAAAGGAUUUCAUAAAGGUCUGUCUCAAGACUUACAAAAUUUGAAAGCACAGAUUCUAUCACAGAUCAUAGAAGAUGAUAUCUGGACGAAGUGUUAAAACUAAUGAAGGAACUCAGUUCGGUAUAUCCAUAGAAAUUGAUUCAAUUUAGCAGUAGCGCAAAUGUUAACGGUUUACAGACACAAAAUCGGUAUUGGAUUGUUUCCAAACCCUGGUUGUGUAAUCCAAACUCCGCACUAGAAGUUGACACCUUCUGCUUCAUCUAACCAUUGAGACUGGAGGUAUUAUUCAGAGACAACGAGACAAGGUUUUCAUAUAAAAGAAUAUUUAAAUAAGAUAGAAUACAUACAACUCAUCAUGUGAUUUUCAGGUACAAUUAAACUCGUCAACAAAGUCUGGAACAAUUAAUACUAUCCUGUGUAGUGUUCUUAUAAAAGAUUUGAGGCUUAAUGGCCAUCAUUGAGGCUAGUGGAAAUAAACUGCUUUACAAUGCCCUGCAGAAAAUCUAUGGACAAGAUGUUUCAUAAUUACUUAUGCGUGUAUUUUUCCGCGGCUAAUCUAUUUAAGGCUAGCCCAUUAUUAACAGUGACAGGAAGCUGAUUGAGUUGACAGACCUCUGCAAAAUGAAUGUGAAAGAUGAACUCUGCAAGUUAGUCAAAGAGAAUACUGUAUUUCCUCAGACUCGUGGCACACACCAGCUUCAGUCUGGUCAACCUUAUUCUCUCAUCCAGGUAUUUACAAAGGUGAAGGAAGAUACAUGUGGAUUUAUUUUCUGAGCAGUACCAGUUCGUAUUACUUUCCUCAGAAAUAAAGAUGAAUUUUGUCACUGCACAAUGCAUUCACAGGUCUCAAGCAACAUAAAUUGUUUGAGUCUCAUGAGCUGUCAAUUACAACCCUGCAUAUCGAAAAUAAUUUAUUAAAACGUGAUAGCACAGAAGGAAUAUUGAUAAUAAACCUUUUUUACUGCAAUCUUUGAAUAAGGUGAAAUAAUUAUGUUCUGGUUUUAAAGAUGUAUUUUUAAGCAUUCUAGUUGUUCCUAUUGUUUAGAAUUAAAAAAAACAUUUUCACCAUGCAUCCAUGCAGUUAAGUAUUUUGCCCACUAACGUAUUUUUUAAAACUCCCCAUAUUAUGCAGUCAUUCUGUGUUAACUAGAUGUGAUAAUUCCAGGUCUUCUACAAUUAAAAUUGUGUCUUAAAAUUACAUUAUGGCAUUUUAUAAUCACUAUGCAGCUGUUCUGUCAAAAUUGUUAAACAUUUUGUGAUGGGUAGCAUAUUCA